CAGCCGCCGCGGGAAUACGGAGGGUGCAAGCGUUAAUCGGAAUUACUGGGCGUAAAGCGCACGCUGGCGGUCUGACAAGUCAGAUGUGAAAUCCCCGGGCUUAACCUGGGAACUGCAUUUGAAACUGUCAGGCUGGAGUCUUGUAGAGGGGGGUGGAAUUCCAGGUGUAGCGGUGAAAUGCGUAGAGAUCUGGAGGAAUACCGGUGGCGAAGGCGGCCCCCUGGACAAAGACUGACGCUCAGGUGCGAAAGCGUGGGGAGCAAACAGGAUUAGACACCCGCGUAGUCCCUGUCUCUUAUAC
rnacentral:rRNA from 1 species